UACGAAGGGUGCAAGCGUUAGUCGGAAUUACUGGGCGUAAAGCGUGCGCAGGCGGUUUUGUAAGCCAGAUGUGAAAGCCCCGGGCUCAACCUGGGAAUGGCAUUUGGGACUGCAAGGCUUGAGUGCGGCAGAGGAGACUGGAAUUCCUGGUGUAGCAGUGAAAUGCGUAGAUAUCAGGAGGAAUACCGAUGGCGAAGGCAGGUCUCUGGGCUGACACUGACGCUCAUGCACGAAAGCGUGGGGAGCAAACAGG
rnacentral:rRNA from 1 species